AGAGUUUGAUCCUGGCUCAGAGCGAACGCUGGCGGCAGGCCUAACACAUGCAAGUCGAGCGCCCGUAGCAAUACGGGAGCGGCAGACGGGAGAGUAACACGUGGGAACGUGCCCUUCGGUUCGGAAUAACGCAGGGAAACUUGCGCUAAUACCGGAUACGCCCCUUACGGGGGAAAGAUUUAUCGCCGAAAGAUCGGCCC
rnacentral:rRNA from 1 species